UACAGAGGGUGCGAGCGUUAAUCGGAAUUACUGGGCGUAAAGCGCGCGUAGGCGGCUUUUGCAAGUCGAGUGUGAAAAUCCCCCAGGCUUAACCUGGGAACUGCAUUCGAGACUGCAUAGCUAGAGUAUGGGAGAGGGAAGUGGAAUUUCAGGUGUAGCGGUGAAAUGCGUAGAUAUCUGAAGGAACAUCAGUGGCGAAAGCGACUUCCUGGACCAAUACUGACGCUCAUGUGCGAAAGCGUGGGGAGCAAACAGG
rnacentral:rRNA from 1 species